rnacentral:rRNA from 1 species
AACUCUGUUGUUAGGGAAGAACAAGUGCUAGUUGAAUAAGCUGGCACCUUGACGGUACCUAACCAGAAAGCCACGGCUAACUACGUGCCAGCAGCCGCGGUAAUACGUAGGUGGCAAGCGUUAUCCGGAAUUAUUGGGCGUAAAGCGCGCGCAGGUGGUUUCUUAAGUCUGAUGUGAAAGCCCACGGCUCAACCGUGGAGGGUCAUUGGAAACUGGGAGACUUGAGUGCAGAAGAGGAAAGUGGAAUUCCAUGUGUAGCGGUGAAAUGCGUAGAGAUAUGGAGGAACACCAGUGGCGAAGGCGACUUUCUGGUCUGUAACUGACACUGAGGCGCGAAAGCGUGGGGAGCAAACAGGAUUAGAUACCCUGGUAGUCCACGCCGUAAACGAUGAGUGCUAAGUGUUAGAGGGUUUC